GUGAAUCAUCAAAUUUUUGAACGCAAAUUGCGCUUCCUGGCAUCCCGGGAAGUAUGCCUGUUUGAGGGUCAGUAUUAAUAAAAAAUCGGUUUAGUUACAAAUUGUGACGUUUCCGGAGUUUGGGCUAUCUUAACAUUUUUGGUUAAGAGGCUUAAAAUUGACUUUUUUGGGGCAUUUUUAAAGGAACAUAAAUUUUUUUAUUCUUCUAUUUUUAUUGCCAAAUUUUUAUUAAUUGCGAUCAC
rnacentral:misc_RNA from 1 species